CAUUUAAAGUGGUACGCGAGCUGGGUUUAGAACGUCGUGAGACAGUUCGGUCCCUAUCUGCCGUGGGCGCUGGAGAACUGAGGGGGGCUGCUCCUAGUACGAGAGGACCGGAGUGGACGCAUCACUGGUGUUCGGGUUGUCAUGCCAAUGGCACUGCCCGGUAGCUAAAUGCGGAAGAGAUAAGUGCUGAAAGCAUCUAAGCACGAAACUUGCCCCGAGAUGAGUUCUCCCUGACUCCUUGAGAGUCCUGAAGGAACGUUGAAGACGACGACGUUGAUAGGCCGGGUGUGUAAGCGCAGCGAUGCGUUGAGCUAACCGGUACUAAUGAACCGUGAGGCUUAACCUUACAACGCCGAAG
rnacentral:rRNA from 1 species